UGUAAGCGUAUACCAAAGUUGUUGCAGUUAAAACGCUCGUAGUCGGAAUUUGGCAGUUCCGGAUGUGUGCACGUCGUGUGCGCACUUCGCGGGGAUUGCUUUUGUGGUCUUGCGUAGGAUGAGGCACUUUUAUUAGUGAACGUCCUCACGCAACCACUUUUUACUGUGAGAAAAUCAGAGUGCUCAAAGCAGGCAUUUGCCGUGAAUGUAUUAGCAUGGAAUAAUAGAAUAGGACUUGGUUCUAUUUUGUUGGUUUGUUGGGACUGAGUAAUGAUUAAGAGGGACAGUUGGGGGCAUUUGUAUUUCGGUGCUAGAGGUGAAAUUCUUAGAUUACCGAAAGACAAACUGCUGCGAACGCGUCUGCCAAGGAUGUUUUCAUUGA
rnacentral:rRNA from 1 species